GGGGAUAACGCUCGGAAACAGACGCUAAUACCGCAUACGUCCUACGGGAGAAAGCAGGGGACCUUCGGGCCUUGCUCUAUCAUAUGAGCCUAUGUCAGAUUAUCUAUUUGGAGAGGUAAUGGCUCACCAGGGCGACUAUCCAUAACUGGUCUGAGAAGAUGAUCACUCACUCUGGAACUGAGACACGGUCCACACUCCUACGGGAGGCAGCUGUGGAGAAUAUUGCACAGUGGGAGAACCCCUGAUCCACCCGUGCCGCGUGUGUGAAAAAGGUCCUCAGAUUGUAAAGCUUUUUAUUUUGGGAAGAAGGGCAUUUACCUAAUACGUAUGUGUUUUGUUUUUACCGACAAAAUAAGCCCCGGCUAUCUCUGUGCCAACACCCGCGGUAAUACAGAGGGUGCAAGCGUUACUCAGAUUUACUGGGCGUAAAGCGCGCGUAUGUGUUGUGUUAAUUUAUAUGUGAAAUCCCGGGGCUCACCCUGAGAACUGCAUUCAACUGUGACGCUCUAGAGUAUGGUAGAGGGUGGUGGAAUUUCGUGUGUAGCGGAGAAGUGCGUAUAUAUAAGAGAGAACACCUGUGGCAAGCGAGACCACGUGCACUGAUACUGACUCUGAUGUGCGAGCGCGUGGAGAGCACACGAGAUUAGAUA
rnacentral:rRNA from 1 species